CUCAACAACAGUAAUCCAGUGUACCCCUGAUCCAUCAGAGUCGAAAGUCAUGCAUCCUCCGAUACACAACCCAACCAAGCCGCACUGCUUCUUAGCACAGCCCGCAUCCAACCCGGAAGCCAGCCGCACCGUGUCGGAGGAAACACCGUGCACCUGGCAACCUUGGUUAGCGUGGACUGCACCUGGCCCGCCACAGGAGUCGCUGGUGCGCGAUGAGACUCAGAGGACCAUUAUUAGCAUGUUUUAACCACUCAUAUAUAAACGGUAGAUUAUCGAACACAC
ensembl:lncRNA